CCUGCCCCUGCAGGUGUUGCGGCUGUGGCUGCCGUGUCCCAGCUGUGUCGUGGGUGGCAGAGAGGAUGAGGCGCCGUCUACACUGAGUGCUCUUGGACCGUGAGCCCCAGAAUGCUGGCAGCCACACAGG
rnacentral:snoRNA from 1 species